UGAAUCCGUGAGACCUCUGUGAUAAGACACGAGAGAAGCAUGAGUAAGCCGUGAGAUCUCAGGAGCAGAUUCUAUCCAAUGGUAAGAUUUGAGUUUUGGAAUUUCACUGGGUAGCGAAAUAUUGAAGAAAUUGUAGCAUGUUUCAGCUGUCGUUCGCUCGUCAGGAUCCAUGGAGAGAUAUGGAUCCACUUCCCUUGUGACAAUAUAGCCGAACACAGUCUUCAUCAGCCAUGGGAGUCCGUGACACAAGAAGAUGGCAUCAUUGAGCGGGCUAGCACAAUAAGGUUUACCACCGAGAAUGAGAUCAACGGUUUGCUGAAGUUUCCAUGUUGGAGCAGCUAUUGGAGCGUCGAGUGGAAUAGUAAUGAGCGAUCGAUCAACUGUACAAUUUGUAAGUUUUCCGGAGGCGCUCGGCAGGUUGAACGCCUUGGAUGUGAAUGUGGAGUUUGGCAGUCGCGAAGACAUUGUGGUAUUCAAGCAGAAAUUGGAACGACUGCGCUUCCCAUUCACUCCGCAGAUGGAUAGCAUUGUUGAAUUUUGUGGCAGAUUGAGGCAGUAAAGAAGGCUGGUAGACAUGAUGUUCAUUUGAGUGCCUCUAUCUCGUGCCACAUGGCCAGAAAUAGUGUCGACAGUUGCUAAUAGAAUGUUGACAAUAGCCGUGACAAGGAGGAUUUUGAGUGUAGCUUCAAAUAUUGGGUUUUCCGUUUGUGGUAUCAUCGCUAGCACAUUGGAUGUCGAAGGACCAGGAGCACUCCUUGCGCCAAAUUGGAGAGGAAGCUUCACAGGAUCCAAAGCAGAGGAGCUGCAGUCGGUGUGAGCUUCAGAAUUGGCAAAGAAAUGAUCAUGAAGCAACAGGUGGUGUUUUCCUUGACACGGUUGCCAGUCUUGGAACGUGCAACUGUACAUCGAGUAGGCGGCGAAACAGUUUAGGCAAAGCCUCAGCUGUUUACUUGAUUGGAAUUGCUCAUCCGAAUUUAUGUUGCGAAGAGUUUGGCAUCGGAUGAGCGGACGGCAUUCUUCAUGGCAAUACCGACGAGUGAUGUUAUCAGUGGACAUAACAUUACAAGUAUGGGACUGGAUGAGAGGUCGUGAUAUAUGCGAUAUUGGGUAGACAGUUAAAAGGGCAGCCUUGUCAGGAAUGUGAUUUAUGAGAAUGAUGGUGCUACACACGAUUGCCAGUAGUAGGAUAAUCAUUUGGCAAUGCUUCUGGCUGGGUUGCGGCAGAAAUGACGUCAUAAAAAGCAUCAAGGUGCUAUGAUCAGCGAUAAUUUGGUUCGGAACUUCCAAAUACCUCAACUUCAUUGACUGGAAAUUGUUGCACUGGAAUUCUAGCGUGAUCAAUUGUCCCACAAGCUCUUGAUCGUCUGCCAUGAGCUCCUCCACGUAACGCUCAACACGGGAAACUGCUGUGAGGAUUCUCUCUAGUACACGGAAGCUCAUCAACUUUGAAGAUGCAAUCAACGAUAAGGCUUGUAGGCUGGUAAGCACUUGUGGCACACAGAAGUAAUCUCAGAAGGUAGCGUGAACUGCGGUAGCUGGUUGGAGGCUCGAAUGGCCAAUUUUAUGUAUAGAACAUACCUUUGGAUUGUACAGGGCAGAGAUUAGCAAUAAGGAAGACAAUAGAUAUCCCAGUAGAGCCGGGCAGGAGAAGUCAUUUACCUUUGUAACGACAGUUAAGAAGAAACACAGAUUAGGAAAAUACAGCGUUGGAACUUCCUGGAUUCGGUUGGGCAUCAAUCAUACCUUUGGAGAUACAGGUGAGAAAUACAUUAGUAGCCUUUCUGGUGAGAAGGAACAAUUUUGGUUUCUCGUAGCUCCAGUAGCUGCCGGAUGUCUGGGUGUUCUGAAGGGGCCGGAGGAGAUGGAGAAGAAAAAGUACGGAUUCUUCCCAACACCAAUUUAAUGUAAUUCAAUUAUGGGUUUUCAAAUAUAAAUUGUGGCGCGAGACGCCUUUGGUUCACUUUUUAACUUUACUAUAAAAUCUAAGCCCGAUGGGACUAACAAGGCUUGAUAAAAUAUAAUUUCCCAAAAAAGAGUUUGGGACUCGUGGUUGCCAUGAAGUAUACUGACGGAAGGAAGUAACAAAGAUAGAAAAAUGAUGGCGGUUAAAAAUUGCAAA